rnacentral:rRNA from 1 species
UAGUGGCAAACGGGCGAGUAACACGUGCUUAACUUACCUUGGAGUUAAGGAUAACUGGGGAAACUCAGCUAAACCUUAAUACGUUCCGGUUAAUGAGAAACAACCGGAAGAAAGGCUUGCCGCUCUAAGAGAGGUGCGCGGACCACCAGUUAGUUGGUAAGGUAAUGGCUUACCAAGACAAUGACGGAUAGCCGGCCUGAGAGGGUGACCGGCCGCAAUGGGACUGAGACACGGCCCAUACCCCUACGGGGGGCAGCAGUGGGGAAUCUUGGACAAUGGGGGAAACCCUGAUCCAGCAACUUCGCGUGAAGGACGACGCCUUAAGGGGUGUAAACUUCUUUUCUGGGGGAAGACGACUGACGGUACCCCAGGAAUAAGGGACGGCUAACUACGUGCCAGCAGCCGCGGUAAUACGUAGGUCCCGAGCGUUAUCCGGAGUUACUGGGCGUAAAGAGUCCGUAGCCGGUUGUAUAAGUCUGCUUUUAAAGACCGAAGCUCAACUUCGGAAGGGGGGCAGAUACUGUGCAGCUAGAGGUGAUUGGAGGUUAGUGGAAUUUCCGGUGGAGGGGUGGAAUCUGUUGAUAUCGGAAGGAAUGCCAAAAGCGAAAGCAGCUAACUAUGAUUUUUCUGACGGUAAAGGACGGAAGUGUGGGUAGCAAACAGGAUUAGAUACCCUGGUAGUCCACACUGUAAAUUAUGUUCGCUAGGUGUUGGUUUCUUUUGAAAUUAGUGCCGUAACCUAACGGGUUAAGCGAACCGCCUGGGUAGUAUAGUCGCAAGGCCGAAACUCAAAGGGAUAGGCGGGGAAACACACAAGCGGUGGAUUGCCUUAAUUAAUUUGAUAAUAAGCAAAGAAUCUUACCUGGGCUUGACAUCCUUGGAAUCUUUUGGAAACAAGAGAGUGCUCUGCUUGCAGAGAACCAAGUGACAGGUGUUGCAUGGCCGUCGUCAGCUCGUGCUGCAAAGUGUCCGGUUAAGUCCGGAAACGAGCGCAACCCUUAUUCUUAGUUAGAAUGUCUAAGAAGACUGCCUGGGCAACCAGGAGGAAGGAGAGGAUGAUGUCAGGUCAUUAUGGCCCUUACGUCCGGGGCGUUAGAGGCAAUACAAUGGGUAGUACAAUGGGAAGCGAAGUUGUGAAAUGGAGCAAAUCCUUUAAAGCUAUCCUAAGUGCAGAUUGUAGUCUGGAACUCGACUACAUGAAGUUGGAAUCGCUAGUAAUGGCAAAUCAGCCACGUUGCCGUGAAUAUGUCCCUGUUUCUUGCACUCACCGCCCGUCAUACCAUGGGAG